rnacentral:rRNA from 1 species
ACGGAAGGCAGCAGUGGGGAAUAUUGCACAAUGGGCGAAAGCCUGAUGCAGCGACGCCGCGUGAGUGAAGAAGUAUCUCGGUAUGUAAAGCUCUAUCAGCAGGGAAGAAAAUGACGGUACCUGACUAAGAAGCCCCGGCUAACUACGUGCCAGCAGCCGCGGUAAUACGGAGGGGGCAAGCGUUAUCCGGAUUUACUGGGUGUAAAGGGAGCGUAGACGGUUUGGCAAGUCUGAAGUGAAAUGCGGGGGCUCAACUCCUGAACUGCUUUGGAAACUGUCGAACUAGAGUGCAGGAGAGGUAAGUGGAAUUCCUAGUGUAGCGGUGAAAUGCGUAGAUAUUAGGAGGAACACCAGUGGCGAAGGCGGCUUACUGGACUGUAACUGACGUUGAGGCUCGAAAGCGUGGGGAGCAAACAGGAUUAGAUACCCUGGUA